GAAAUGAGACGGUCCUCGGCCUCGGCCUUGGACCAGGGCCGAUCCCCGGCUGGCUGCCUUGCUCUAACCGUCUGGUUUCCUCGUCGGGGUGAGUCCCUUUCCUCCCGGUCGUGGGAGCGAGUCGGUCGGUGGGCUUGGCGAAGGUCUUUUUAUUCUGUUGGGCAGGAGGGGCGCAGGCCCGGGACUUGCCUUAGACGCCGCCUGUUACCCAUGGGCGCGGCCUAUUCGUAGGUCGCGUCUUUUGGGGGCUAGCGUGCAGUCGGCAAGUACCAGGAGCAGGCAUGUUAGGACCCGAAAGAUGGUGAACUAUGCCUGGCCAGGAUGAAGCCAGAGGAAACUCUGGUGGAGGUCCGUAGCGAUUCUGACGUGCAAAUCGAUCGUCGGAGCUGGGUAUAGGGGCGAAAGACUAAUCGAACCAUCUAGUAGCUGGUUCCCUCCGAAGUUUCCCUCAGGAUAGCUGGAACUCGCCAUGAGAUGAAUUUCAUCCGGUAAAGCGAAUGAUUAGAGGUCUUGGGGACGAAACGUCCUCAACCUAUUCUCAAACUUUAAAUGGGUGAGAUGCCGAGCUUGCUUAAAAGAUGAAGCCUCGGCGACGAAUCCGAGUUCCUAGUGGGCCACUUUGGUAAGCAGAACUGGCGCUGUGGGAUGAACCAAACGUCCGAGUUAAGGGGCCUAAAUG
rnacentral:rRNA from 1 species